AUUGAACGCUGGCGGCAGGCCUAACACAUGCAAGUCGAGCGGAUGAAGGGAGCUUGCUCCUGGAUUCAGCGGCGGACGGGUGAGUAAUGCCUAGGAAUCUGCCUGGUAGUGGGGGAUAACGUCCGGAAACGGGCGCUAAUACCGCAUACGUCCUGAGGGAGAAAGUGGGGGAUCUUCGGACCUCACGCUAUCAGAUGAGCCUAGGUCGGAUUAGCUAGUUGGUGGGGUAAAGGCCUACCAAGGCGACGAUCCGUAACUGGUCUGAGAGGAUGAUCAGUCACACUGGAACUGAGACACGGUCCAGACUCCUACGGGAGGCAGCAGUGGGGAAUAUUGGACAAAGGGCGAAAGCCUGAUCCAGCCAUGCCGCGUGUGUGAAGAAGGUCUUCGGAUUGUAAAGCACUUUAAGUUGGGAGGAAGGGCAGUAAGUUAAUACCUUGCUGUUUUGACGUUACUAACAGAAUAAGCACCGGCUAACUUCGUG
rnacentral:rRNA from 1 species